UUCGGUUUAACACCGGCAGUCUCCUUAGAGUCCCCGGCAUGACCCGCUGGUAACUAAGGACAAGGGUUUCGCUCGUUACGGGACUUAACCCAACAUCUCACGACACGAGCUGACGACAGCCAUGCAAUACCUGUGCUAGCUCCUCCAAAGGAGGUCCCGCCCCUUUCAGUUUGGUACCACUAGCAUGUCAAGCCCAGGUAAGGUUCUUCGCGUUGCAUCGAAUUAAACAACAUGCUCCACCGCUUGUGUGAGCCCCCGUCAAUUCCUUUGAGUUUUAGCCUUGCGACCAUACUCCCCAGGCGGGGCACUUAACACAUUAGCUCCGGCAGGGAGGGCUUGGGACCCCCCCUACGUAGUGCCCAUCGUUUACAGCUAGGACUAC
rnacentral:misc_RNA from 1 species